GGGCGGAUGGUUUAGUGGUAUAAUACUCCCUUAGCAUGUCAUCUGCAGGUGAUCUGAUCUGGGAGUGGUCCGGGGUUCGAUUCCCCGUCUGUCCA